GGUGGCUCAGUGGUAGAGCGCUGACCUUGCAUGCCUGAGGCCUUGGGUUCGAUUCCUCGGCACCA
rnacentral:tRNA from 1 species